rnacentral:rRNA from 1 species
UACGAAGGGGGCAAGCGUUGUUCGGAAUUACUGGGCGUAAAGGGCGCGUAGGCGGGAUGGCAAGUCGGUCGUGAAAUCCCUCGGCUCAACUGAGGAUCGUCGAUCGAUACUGCCGUUCUUGAGGAUUGCAGAGGAGACUGGAAUUCCCGGUGUAGCGGUGAAAUGUGUAGAGAUCGGGAGGAACACCGGUGGCGAAGGCGGGUCUCUGGGCAAUUCCUGACGCUGAGGCGCGAAAGCGUGGGGAGCAAACGGG